CCAGCAGCCGCGGUAAUUCCAGCUCCAAUAGCGUAUAUUAAAAUUGUUGCAGUUAAAAAGCUCGUAGUUGAAUUUCUGCUAAAAAUAACCGGUCUGCUUUUAAUAAAGGUGGUAUCUUGGUGUGUUUUUAGCAAUAAUGUCCUUUGAAAUGUUUUUUACUUCAUUGUAAUAAAUUAUAUUUAGGAUUUUUACUUUGAGAAAAUUAGAGUGUUUCUAGCAGGCUAAUGCUUUGAAUACUGCAGCAUGGAAUAA
rnacentral:rRNA from 1 species